rnacentral:lncRNA from 1 species
GAGCACUGGGUGUUGUAUGGAAACCAAUUUGACAAUAAAUUUCAUAUAUUAAAUAAAUAAAUAAAUAAAUAAAUAAAUAAAAUAAAUAAAUUUACCUCUUCCUAUGUCUAUGUAAUCCAUACCAGAAAAUGCGUUUUGUAAACUUUCUCUCGCUUUAGUUUCAAUUUUCCAAAACUGAUUACAGACUUUUCCUUAAGUCUUUGCUUCCAGGACGCAAUUGAAGAACAGAGUAACUUCUUUUGCUGUGAAAACAGCCAAGAAGAUGGGCAGACUACCUAUUGAACCUAUUGAAUUUAUGCCUUUCUAGCAGAAACUGUACUAUAAAGUAAGGGAAUCUCUAAAGUUUUGAAAUAUAAAUGUUAACUGUCAGCUCCAGGUCUGAAAACAGGGAUACAAAACACACUUUUGAUAAUUAACCAAUGGUAUGAAAAGGCAGCCCCUUUCCUUCCUCGGCAUUGGUUUACAGUAGUUUAAUUCUUUUGAGUCUGUCACUGCUUUUGUCUGUUCGCUUCAAAGCCAUAUUCAGCUGUGGAUUCCAAACACAAUGCAACUGGCUGGUGUCUGCUUACUAGAGCCGAAAUCCUUUGUUUCAGAAUUGCCUUAACAGCUAACCUUAUUGGUCUAGAUUUACCACCUCGACCUACUUCAUUCAUUUAUUUUCAUGAAAACGGAGACUUAUGAUGCUGAUUCACACGAAAGGCACUUGUUAGACCAGUGCUGGGAUAAAAUUAAUUAUUAUUCUGAUAAAUUGUUUCACUCUUGUUAGCUCUGCUGGGCAGUAAGUGGAGGAAAUAAAAUACUUCUAUCUCUGUAUGUAAUUCUAUCGAGCACAGAGCUCUCUGCUUUAAAACAUGCCUUACGGUGCCACUCUCAUCCCUGAUAAAAAUAAAUCUCCCCUCAACCAAACUUGUGUUGUUUCUAUCUCCUUCAGACCCACUUAAAUUAUAGCUGCCUGCUGUUGAUGCUUGGCCCCCACGAAAGCAAAGGAAGAUGGGGAAACAGAAAUUGAACUGAAUGCGUUUUAUUCAAAGCAUCUUCCUACUUUGUCUCAAGAACCUGCGCCGGCCACCUCAAAUGGUAAAGAAAACAAAGCUCUUGGAAAACAAGGUCACAUCGAGACUUGGAGUCUCUGGGUCUGCCCAAGAGAGCUUGAAGAGGAGAGGAAGGUGACCGGGGCGUUGAUGGUAACUAUGCUGCCUUUGAGAGAUAGCAUCAUUGUAACCAAUACCUCAGUCUCAUUAGCGCAAAUUCUAAUCGGGCUUUGUGUGAGGUUUUCCAUUUAGACCUUGGUUAUUGUCCUUCAGCGGAGAGAUCUGGCAAAUGAUAUUUGGG